rnacentral:rRNA from 1 species
AGAUUGAACGCUGGCGGCAGGCCUAACACAUGCAAGUCGAGCGGUAGAGAGGUGCUUGCAUCUCUUGAGAGCGGCGGACGGGUGAGUAAUGCCUAGGAAUCUGCCUAGUGGUGGGGGAUAACGUUCGGAAACGGACGCUAAUACCGCAUACGUCCUACGGGAGAAAGCGGGGGACCUUCGGGCCUCGCGCCAUUAGAUGAGCCUAGGUCGGAUUAGCUAGUUGGUGAGGUAAAGGCUCACCAAGGCGACGAUCUGUAGCUGGCUUGAGAGGACGACCAGCCGCACUGGGACCGAGACACGGUCCAGACUCCUACGGGAGGCAGCAGUGGGAAUAUUGGACAAUGGGCGAAAGCCUGAUCCAGCCAUGCCGCGUGUGUGAAGAAGGUCUUCGGAUUGUAAAGCACGUUUAAGUUGGAGGAAGGUUGUAACUUAAUACGUUGCAACGUUUGACGUUACCGACAGAAAUAAGCACGCUAACUCGUGCCAGCAGCCGA